rnacentral:rRNA from 1 species
UACGGAGGAUGCAAGCGUUAUCCGGAAUGAUUGGGCGUAAAGCGUCCGCAGGUGGCUAUGUAAGUCUGCUGUUAAAGAGCAAGGCUCAACCUUGUAAAGGCAGUGGAAACUACAUGGCUAGAGUGCGUUCGGGGCAGAGGGAAUUCCUGGUGUAGCGGUGAAAUGCGUAGAGAUCAGGAAGAACACCGGUGGCGAAAGCGCUCUGCUAGGCCGCAACUGACACUGAGGGACGAAAGCUAGGGGAGCAAACGGG